UUUUCAAUUUAUAUUCACAUUUCUAACUUCUGAGGGAUCCUCAGGGUAAUUCUCCAAGUAAUGACAAAAGGAAAGAAAAAUAGGAUACACACAGGAAUUACAAGUGCUGAGUCUACAGAGUGAAUAUAUGUGAAUCGAGAAGUAUUUAACGGUAUCAGCUGACCCAGUCUAUUGUCUUUACUUUCUCAUAUACCUCAUUUAUCUAUGAAAUGUUUUCAGAGGGAGAGACUUUUUAGUCAUUCUCAGGAUUUAGGUUUCAGAUGCAUGAAUGUGGACAGACAAAUGAUCAGAAACUAUUUUCCAGGACUUCCAUACAGAUUUGAAACAAAACAAAAAUGGAAUUUAUUUUAAAGUAUCUUUUUUUUUAUUUUUUAAAUAUCUAAUGAGCACGAUUUAUGGUCGAAGCAUACAUAUGAAUAAACUUUGUGACAGGAGCAAUUUAGCAUUUCAGAUUGCCAUUCAUUGAACUCACAACCGUUUAAUAAGUACAUGUUCUUAAAAGUCAGGGUAGUUUUUAGAGCGCCUUUUUGUUCCAUUAUACCUUAUGCAUUUCACCUAGUAAUGUACUGAUUAUUAUACCUUAAAAAUCAAAUCAAAGCAAAUUACAAAUGCCAACUAUAGAUUGUGACAAUUUAUUAGAUUCAUCGUACAUUCCAUUUUAAAGAAAUAUUAACAAUAUUUUCAUAUUCUUUUCUUUCUAAUGAAAGAAUAUUAUGUUAGCAAAAUUAUAACACCUUGGCUUCUUGGCCUAUCAAUUUUGAGUGUUUCCUAUAACAUCAGUGUUUUGUUUCUAAGUUAUUUUACUGCAGCAGGCAGGACAUCUAACUGAAUACAUUGCUUUUCUGAAACAGCCUGGACUCUAAUUCUCUAGCAGUCCUGUUACAUUACCAUCUUUCAGGAGGCCUGUCACUAAGUCAUGGCAGUAGGAAAGAGGAGCCGGAAAGGAACAUUGAUGAGGGCAGUUGCAUUUGGUGAUUUCCCAAGAGGAGACGAACACCAAUCUACUGAAGGACUUUGGCUGCCAGCAGCUGUUCUUGACAAUCUGAACAUCUGGUUUUGUAAACUACUUGUAACAAAAACUUCACAAGCUGAGAUUCAUCCUCAAGGGCACAACUGGCAUUUAAAGAACUUUUAGUAAAAACUUAUUUUAAGGUCAAAGAAUAAAGCAGAAUCAAAAGAUAUGUUGACUCUUUGCCUGGAGGAAAAUAAGAAGUAGAUUUAACUUUUCUACAUAUGAUGGUAAUUAUUUUAAUUGUGACACCUACAUUUCCCAAAUUAGAUUCCAUACAGCAGUAGUUAUGUGAUAUGACCAAUAUGGAAAAUGUUUUGUUCCACUAACAAAUAUUUUUAUAUUAGCUAGGUAUUGUGGUGUACUUCUGUGGCCCAGCUACUUGGGAGGCUGAGGCAGAAGAUCACUGGAUCCCAGGAGGUUGAGGCUGCAGUGAACUGUGAUUGUAUGUGAUUGCACCAUUACAUUCCAGCCUGAGCAAAAGGACAAUGCCCUGUCUCUGAAAAAAAAUAAAAAUAAACUAACAAAAAACAAAUUAGGAAAAGAAAAAUAUUUUAUGUCGCAAUUCUCCUCUAGGAGUGUCAAAAUAGCCAUUAAUACAGUAAAGUCACUGAGACUUUUUUCAUUUUUGUUUAGCUGGAUUUAAAAGUAUGUUCACUCUUAUAACUUGCUGUGGAGAAAUUGUUUUGACAAUGAAACUAUUUUCUCGCCUUGAUAUCUAUUGUAUUAGUUUUCUGGGCUGUAACAAAAUACCACAAAAUAGUGGCUUUGAACAACAGAAGUAUAUUGUCUCACGGUUCUGAAGCCUAGAAAUCUGAAAUCAAGGUAUGGACUGGGCCAUGCUCCUUCUGAAACUUGUAGAGAAAGGAUCCAUCCUUGCCUCUUCCUGCUUUUGGUAGUCCAGAUGUUCCUUGGUCUGUGGCAGCAUAAUUCCAAUGUUUGUCUCUUUUUUCCUAUGUGUUCGAAUUCCUUUUUUAAAAAAAAUGACAUCAGUUGUGUUAGAUAAUGGCUCAUCCUAAUGCCCUCAUUUUUGCCUGAUUAUAUUGAUGAAUAACUUAUUUCCAUACAAAGUCAUAUUCUGGGUUACCAGGGUAUAGGGCUUUAAGAGGUAUAUUUUUGUGUGGGGCACAAUUAAACUUGUAAUGUCUGUUAACAUGUUCUCUGAGGAACAUAAUUUGGUUUAUACUAUGCUACAUAAUCACUCCUCUUAUCUAUUGCAGUGGAAAGGUGGGUGUUGUAUGUGUGAUUUUUGAAUUGUGCAAAACAUACAAAAACUUCAGAGCUAAAGAAAAAUACGUAAAGUUAACAGGUAUUCCAUAACCAUAAUUUAUGUAAUCUAUCCCUAUUAAUGAGUACUAAACUGCCAAUAGCAUUAAUAAAAAUGACUCCAAAUUCAUAAUCUGCUGACAAUUGUUGAGUAAUGUCAUUGUAAAAUGUUAAAAAGUAUAUAUCUUAAUACUAUUACUGCAAAGAUAAAGUUGAGAAUGUCAACCAUAACACUUGAGAAUGUACAUCAUACAUGCUUUUAGUUUAUCUGGAAUCAAAGCCUCUAUUUAUUUAUUUAUAGGAGAAUUUAAAAUAUAAUAUUCAUCUAAUUUCUGCUUUAUAUUUCAAGUUAGUUAAAACCAAUUAUUUAGGGGCCAUCUUAAAUACACUAAUUUACACAUAUAUUUAUCACUCUAAAUAUAUUCUUCAAGUUAAUCAGUUAAUCAACACCAACCUGAAACAGUGGAAAUAUUGUGAAUUUAUUUUGGUAUUAGCUACAAGACACAUGCAUAUAUAUUUAUGUAAAAGUAUAUAUUUUUGUUCCAAAGUAAAUAUGUGAAAUCAAAACACAUUGCAUUUAACACCCUACUGAUAAUCUGGAG
ensembl:lincRNA